rnacentral:rRNA from 1 species
GACGAACGCUGGCGGCGUGCCUAAUACAUGCAAGUUGAGCGAUGAAGAUUGGUGCUUGCACCAAUUUGAAGAGCAGCGAACGGGUGAGUAACGCGUGGGGAAUCUGCCUUUGAGCGGGGGACAACAUUUGGAAACGAAUGCUAAUACCGCAUAACAACUUUAAACAUAAGGUUGAAGGUUGAAAGAUGCAAUUGCAUCACUCAAAGAUGAUCCCUCGUUGUAUUAGCUAGUUGGUGAGGUAAAGGCUCACCAAGGCGAUGAUACAUAGCCGCCCUGAGAGGGUGGUCAGCCGCCCUGGGAGUGUGACACGGCACAUACGCCUUCGGGUGGCAGCAGGAGGGCUUCUUCGGCCAUAGGCGGGAGACUGACCGCGCUGCGCCGCGUCAGUGAGGAAGGACUUCGGGUCGUAAAUCUCUGUUGGUAGAGAAGAACGUUGGUGAGAGUGGAACGCUCAUUAAGUGACGGUAACUGCCCAGAAAGCGACGGCUAACUACGUG